rnacentral:lncRNA from 1 species
GCAGAUAGGCAAAAUAGGGUGAGAUCUUCUAACCUUUCAGUGUCUUCAUAUAUCUCGUCCAAAUUCCUUGCUCGUGGUGUGGCUCUUUCAUUUAAGAAAGAUGGUGGCGAGUCUUCAGUAACUUGUAUAGGUGAAGCUGGCGGAGUCACUACCUCUUGUUGGACUUCUCCAACUUGCUCGACUGUCCUUUCAUCUUCGAAUUGUGGGAUGAAGGUGAAGUCACAACUGGGACUGAAAUCCCAGACUCCUUCUUCGUCGAACUCCACGUCUCGACUUAUCACUAUUUUCUUGGUAUUUGGAUUAUAUAACUUAUAGCCUUCAGAGUUAGAG